AGAGUUUGAUCCUGGCUCAGGUUGAACGCUGGCGGCAUGCCUUACACAUGCAAGUCGAACGGCAGCACGGGGGCAACCCUGGUGGCGAGUGGCGAACGGGUGAGUAACAUAUCGGAACGUGCCCUGGAGUGGGGGAUAACUAGUCAAAGAUUAGCUAAUACCGCAUACGAUCUACGGAUGAAAGUGGGGGAUCGCAAGACCUCAUGCUCGUGGAGCGGCCGAUAUCUGAUUAGCUAGUUGGUGGGGUAAAGGCCUACCAAGGCAUCGAUCAGUAGCUGGUCUGAGAGGACGACCAGCCACACUGGGACUGAGACACGGCCCAGACUCCUACGGGAGGCAGCAGUGGGGAAUUUUGGACAAUGGGCGCAAGCCUGAUCCAGCAAUGCCGCGUGAGUGAAGAAGGCCUUCGGGUUGUAAAGCUCUUUUGUCAGGGAAGAAACGGUGAGGGCUAAUAUCCCUUGCUAAUGACGGUACCUGAAGAAUAAGCACCGGCUAACUACGUGCCAGCAGCCGCGGUAAUACGUAGGGUGCAAGCGUUAAUCGGAAUUACUGGGCGUAAAGCGUGCGCAGGCGGUUGUGCAAGACCGAUGUGAAAUCCCCGGGCUUAACCUGGGAAUGGCAUUGGUGACUGCACGGCUAGAGUGUGUCAGAGGGGGGUAGAAUUCCACGUGUAGCAGUGAAAUGCGUAGAGAUGUGGAGGAAUACCGAUGGCGAAGGCAGCCCCCUGGGAUAACACUGACGCUCAUGCACGAAAGCGUGGGGAGCAAACAGGAUUAGAUACCCUGGUAGUCCACGCCCUAAACGAUGUCAACUAGUUGUCGGGUCUUAAUUGACUUGGUAACGCAGCUAACGCGUGAAGUUGACCGCCUGGGGAGUACGGUCGCAAGAUUAAAACUCAAAGGAAUUGACGAGGACCCGCACAAGCGGUGGAUGAUGUGGAUUAAUUCGAUGCAACGCGAAAAACCUUACCUACCCUAGACAUGGCAGGAAUCCCGGAGAGAUUCGGGAGUGCUCGAAAGAGAACCUGCACACAGGUGCUGCAUGGCUGUCGUCAGCUCGUGUCGUGAGAUGUUGGGUUAAGUCCCGCAACGAGCGCAACCCUUGUCAUUAGUUGCUACGAAAGGGCACUCUAAUGAGACUGCCGGUGACAAACCGGAGGAAGGUGGGGAUGACGUCAAGUCCUCAUGGCCCUUAUGGGUAGGGCUUCACACGUCAUACAAUGGUACAUACAGAGGGCCGCCAACCCGCGAGGGGGAGCUAAUCCCAGAAAGUGUAUCGUAGUCCGGAUUGCAGUCUGCAACUCGACUGCAUGAAGUUGGAAUCGCUAGUAAUCGCGGAUCAGCAUGUCGCGGUGAAUACGUUCCCGGGUCUUGUACACACCGCCCGUCACACCAUGGGAGCGGGUUUUACCAGAAGUAGGUAGCUUAACCGCAAGGAGGGCGCUUACCACGGUAGGAUUCGUGACUGGGGUGAAGUCGUAACAAGGUAACCAAU
rnacentral:rRNA from 1 species